rnacentral:lncRNA from 1 species
ACACAGUCCACCGACUCUGGCCACAGACCGUAUUUAGCCACCACACACCACCAAACCAUCCACACAAGCACCACCCACAUUUGUCUACCUUGCUAUAGUCCUCCACGCCUAAGUUUAAUCAAGAGCCCUAAAGAGAAAAAUAUCAAAUUGGGAGAAGGAGAUAAAGAUGAAGAUUCGGUGUGCACAAUGCUAUGCCCAUUUUUCUAUUUCAAAUCUCAUACAUGAAUUCUCAUCUUUAGCACCAAGAAUCAUUGUUGAGUUCCAUUUUUUUGUUAUCUUUUGCUCAGAUCUCUAGCGAUGUUGCUGGCUGUGGAAUGGGAAUGGGAGUCGAGUUUUCACAACGGUGUAAUUAAGCUCUGGGAUUGUCGAAGGGGCACUGCAAUUGAGCUUUGACAUCAUUGGUCGUGCCGAAGGUCCAUCAACUGCGUUUGAAAAUGAGGAUUUUGGGUUUGAGUUCGGAGUGAAGCAGCAACGAUUGUAGUGAAUGGGGAGAUGAAAUUUUGGAUUCGAAUGUGAUUUUUCGUUUGGGUUCUAUUUG